rnacentral:rRNA from 1 species
UACGUAGGGUGCGAGCGUUGUCCGGAAUUAUUGGGCGUAAAGAGCUCGUAGGCGGUGUGUCGCGUCGGCCGUGAAAACCUGCAGCUUAACUGUGGGCUUGCGGUCGAUACGGGGCAUCACUGGAGUUCGGCAGGGGAGAGUGGAAUUCCUGGUGUAGCGGUGAAAUGCGCAGAUAUCAGGAGGAACACCAAUAGCGAAGGCAGCUCGCUGGGACGGUACUGACGCUGAGGCGCGAAAGCGUGGGGAGCAAACAGGAUUGAGAU